GACGAACGCUGGCGGCGUGCUUAACACAUGCAAGUCGAACGGAAAGACCCUGCUUUUGUGGGGUGCUCGAGUGGCGAACGGGUGAGUAACACGUGAGUAACCUGCCCUUGACUUUGGGAUAACUUCAGGAAACUGGGGCUAAUACCGGAUAGGAGCUCCUGCUGCAUGGUGGGGGUUGGAAAGUUUCGGCGGUUGGGGAUGGACUCGCGGCUUAUCAGCUUGUUGGUGGGGUAGUGGCUUACCAAGGCUUUGACGGGUAGCCGGCCCGAGAGGGUGACCGGCCACAUUGGGACUGAGAUACGGCCCAGACUCCUACGGGAGGCAGCAGUGGGGAAUAUUGCACAAUGGGCGGAAGCCUGAUGCAGCAACGCCGCGUGCGGGAUGACGGCCUUCGGGUUGUAAACCGCUUUCGCCUGUGACGAAGCGUGAGUGACGGUAAUGGGUAAAGAAGCACCGGCUAACUACGUG
rnacentral:rRNA from 1 species